rnacentral:precursor_RNA from 1 species
CCCAGGCAGAACCAUAGGGCAGCGCCAAGGCAGCCUCGGUUGGCCUCGGAU